GUACUUGCGUCAGCAGCACAUAUACUAAAACUGGGACGACAGAGAGAAGAUUAGUGUGGCCCCAGGGCAAGGAUGACACGCAAAUUCGUGAAGCGUUCCAUAUUUAA
rnacentral:snRNA from 1 species